AUGAACGCUAGCGGCAGGCUUAAUACAUGCAAGUUGAGGGGCAGCAUGAUAUACGCGAGUAUAUUGAUGGCGACCGGGCGGACGGGUGAGUAAUAGGUAGGAGACCUACCUCAUACAGGGGGAUAGCAUAGAGAAAUCUGUGGUAAUACCCCAUGAGGUUAUAUGAAUAGAGGCAUAUAAUCAAAGCAUAAGUGAUUAUGCGGUAUGAGAGGGGCCUACUGACCAUUAGCUAGUUGGUGAGGUAAGGGCUCACCAAGGCGAAGAUGGUUAGGGGUUUUGAGAGAGAGACCCCCCACAUUGGAACUGAGAGACGGUCCAGACUCCUACGGGAGGCAGCAGUAGGGAAUAUUGGGCAAUGGGCGAAAGCCUGACCCAGCCAUGCCGCGUGAAGGAAGACGGCCUUAUGGGUUGUAAACUUCUUUACUACGCGAAUAGAGGUUAGUACGAGAUACUAAUAGGAAGGUAGUGUAGUAAAAAGCACCGGCUAACUCCGUG
rnacentral:rRNA from 1 species